UACGUAGGGGGCCGGCGUUGCUCGGAAUUACUGGGCGUAAAGGGUUCGUAGGCGGUGCGGCAAGUCGGAAGUGAAAUCUCCAGGCUUACCUUGGAGGCUGCUUCCAAAACUGCUGUGCUUGAGUGUGGGAGAGGCGCGUGGAAUUGCAGGUGUAGCGGGGAAAUGCGUAGAUAUCUGCAGGAACACCCGUGGCGAAAGCGGCGCGCUGGACCACAACUGACGCUGAGGAACGAAAGCUAGGGGAGCAAACAGG
rnacentral:rRNA from 1 species